AGCGCUGAUCUUAUUCUCUUGUAAUCCCCUUAAAUUGGCACGAGCUUUUUUAUUAUAUUAUACCUCAUUUCAAUAGAUUUGUAAAUAAUCUGUUAGGAAAAAAGAAAAAAAAAAGGGAAAAAAUCCCCACUUUAUGAUUACUGCUUAUCUUCCAACCUAAAUACAAAGGAAAUGGGACUCGUAUUCAAUCUACAAAACAACUUAGAGCUGAGCCAGGGCAAGUAUGAAGGAGAGUGAUAAGCAGCAUCUGCCCAAGCAGUGGCUGGGAGUGCCAGUGAGGCUUGCAAUGAGGCCUGCAGUGAGGCCUGCAAUGAGACCAUGCAAUGAGUCCAUGCAAUGAGACUUGCAAUGAGUCCUGUAGUGAUCCAUGCAACGAUCCCUGCAAUGAGCUGUGCAAUGAUCCAUGCAGUGAGUCCUGCAGUGGUCCAUGCAGUGAUCCCUGCAAUGAGCCCUGCAAUGAUCCAUGCAGUGAGUCCCGCAGUGGUCCAUGCAGUGAUCCAUGCAAUGAGCCCUGCAAUGAGCCCUGCAAUGAUCCAUGCAGUGAGUCCCGCAGUGAUCCAUGCAAUGAGCCCUGCAAUGAGUCCUGCAGCGAUCCAGGCAAUGAGCCUUGCAAUGAGCCCUGCUCCACGAGUGCCCUUUGCUGCUCUUCCCCGGGCUGCCUCAUGCUGGGAAAGCUUCCAUGUGGCUGAGAGGUGAGGUAGCCCCACGAGUCAGACUCGUUUGAGGGGGUGAGGGCACAGCAGCCAGGACGAGUACUGGCUUGUGCAGGACGGAUGGGUCAGGGAGGGCAAUUUACAGCCCAGAAGGAGCUGCUGCCAAUGGGGCUGCCAUGCCAGGAGGAUGGCGAGGUGAUACAGCAUCCCCCGUCCAGGAUAAGGGCUGCGCACUGAGCUCCAUCACUGCACAAUCUGCCCCAAGUCAGGACGAUUCCUGAAGAGCUGCAGACACAACCGCUGCCCCAUCUGGUACAGAUAACUUCUUGGCUUUGCUGCCUUGUUUUGUUAUGACUUACUGUGGAAACAUGAAGCCCCAUUCGAACGAAAAUGAAUCGUAAUUCUUUUUUAUGCCUUUUCCCCUUGACUGAAAUCCUGUUAAAUCGUUCCUCUGCACCCACAGGAAUACACUUUUCUUCUUCUCUUUCUCCUCCAUCUCCUUCUCCUUCUUCUUCCUCUCUCCAAUUUCUCGCUCCUAAAAUAGCAAAUUCCAGCUGACUGCUUUCAAGGCAACGAGGCGCCCGCGGGAUUGUGGGAGCGUUGCUCAAAUCAGCAGAGAAACUAACGAAGCUGCCAGGAAACAAUAUUAAAAAAAGACGGGGGGUGGAUCCCAUCUGCCAUAAAUCAAAGCGCUGCGGUCUGAGCGGAGCUGAGCCCUCACUGCUGCUCUGCUCCACCCCAACGCUGCACCUCUCCAACACCUGAGCACAGGGCAGGGCUGGGGCAGAGCUCGCCGCUCCGGUUUGCAGUGUGAGAAGGGACUGAGCAAACCCUGGAACACAGCCUGGGCUGCCCUUGAGCUGUGCCAAAGGCAGCGCCAGGAGUCCGCUCCCAUGGGAUGCUGUGGGCAGAUGGGAGCACAGUGCGCAACCACUUUGGGACCGACUUUGUCCCUGGCCGUGAGGGACAGUUGCUGGCUUGCUGGCUUGCUUUCUGUUCCCCCCAACCCAUUUCUCACGUUGACACGGGGUUAGGGACCCACUUGUUGCUCCCUCUUGCAGUGCUGGAGCAGCCUUGCUCGCUGCACACCUGGAUGAGAUGCAGCCACGCAGCUCCAUGCAUGGGGCAAGUCCUGAUGUGCUGCCAGUCAGUGUGUGCAUUCCUGAGCGCUGCGUCAGCCUGAGGCACGGCCAGCAGGCAGGAAAGCUGCCCCGGGUGGGAUGAGAUGAUCAACCCAGGGAGCAGGAGAGGAGGGAUGUGGGAAUGUAACCACGCCUGCAGCACGGCUCUGGCCACAGUGGAAGAAAUCAGUGCUGGAGAAAUCUUCAGGGAUUCAGAGAUCUAGCACAGCUACUCAGUAUUUUUCUUUAGAGCAUCCCUCCCCACCAUCCAGCAUGAAAGAGGAGGCCAGGAGGUCUCAAGGGCCUGAUCCCAAGGUCUGCCCCAUGGCACGGUAAUUCGCAGCCCUUUGCCUGUGCUGACCUCAGCUUGCUGUGUUUGGGGCAGUUUUGCUGCCUGAAUGUCAGGUUGGGCACAGAUCCCUGCCAGGCCCAGCACUGCAGGAGCCGGAGUGGCAGCACUGUGCGUGUUGCAGAAGCUCAGCUCCCCAUAUCCUGCAUUUAUUUGCCUUUCCACCCAGAAAACACAUGCAGACGGGCAUGUACGAACCUUUAUGGAGGGGGUUGUUUGCAGAGCCAAAGCCACUUCACUGAGCACCGGGCUGAGUAAGGGGAGGCUGCUCUGCUGCUGCCAGGCAGGUUGGCCGGCCCUGAGACUGUUGGAGCUGGUGCAGAUCUGCAGGCGCUGUGCCUCAGUUUCCUCUCCCAACUCUGAGGCAGCUCUGGCCGUGGUCCCACAGCUCAGUUCCCUGUGUCGGAGGGUGGGGAAUGUGGCUGGGGAAUGGUGUGAUCCAGGCCGGGAGAAAGCAGAGUCUGCCCUCCCAGCUCCUGCCCUGAAUGAGGUCGAGCAGAGCUGCACCCCCCCGCUGCCGACUGCUGCUCGGAGCUCCGGGCUCUCCCCAUGCUGAGCAUUCAGAGGCACCGACGGUCCCAGGCGCUCAACCCGAGCACCUCUUGUCC
rnacentral:lncRNA from 1 species